rnacentral:misc_RNA from 1 species
AAAAUGUUUGGUGACUUCCAAAAGGAUACCCCCGAGGAGAGGAAUGUUCGAUUUGGCGUCAGGGAACAUGGGAUGGGUGCCAUAUGCAACGGUAUCGCCCUUCACAGCCCCGGGCUGAUCCCCUACUGCGCAACUUUCUUCGUCUUCACCGACUACAUGAGAGGCGCCAUCCGUCUCUCAGCUUUGUCCGAGGCAAGAGUCAUCUACGUGAUGACGCACGACUCCAUCGGUCUUGGAGAAGAUGGACCGACCCAUCAGCCGAUCGAGCAUCUGAUAAGCUUCCGAGCCAUGCCCAAUGUGCUGAUGCUUCGACCUGCGGACGGGACCGAGACUGCCGGAGCCUACAAGGUCGCUGUGCUCAACGAGAAGCGACCGUCCAUCCUCGCCCUCUCCCGUCAGAAGCUCGCUCAACUCCCAGGGACAUCGGUUGAAGGAGUCGAGAAGGGUGGAUACACGAUUUCUGACAACUCUUCUGGUAACAAACCUGACUUCAUUCUUAUUGGUACUGGAUCGGAACUCGAGAUCGCUGAGAAGGCUGCUGGUGAGCUGAGGAAGGAUGGGAAGACGGUGCGGGUCGUCUCGCUUGUUUCGUGGGAGCUGUUCGAUGAGCAAUCGGAUGAGUACAAGGAGAGUGUACUGCCAGCUGCUGUCACGGCUAGGGUCAGUAUCGAAGCGGGGUCCACGCUAGGCUGGGAGAAGUUCG